AGAAUGGCCAAAAUUAACAAGGCAGGAAACAGCAAGUUUUGGAGAGGAAGUGGUAGAAGGGGAACCCUUUUACACUGUUAGUGUGGAUGCAAGGUGGUAGAGCCACAUUGGAAGACAGUGUGGAAAUUCCUUAAGAAAUUAAAAAUAGAG